GAAAACAUCAUUGAUGGCCACAGGGUUCACCCCGCUGGGAUAACUGACCAGGAAUUCCUCCUAAAGAUAAUUCCCAAUAACCAAGACAGAUGUAGCUGAAGCUAUGAACACAAUUUGCAGAAGUGCUUUAGUGACUUGCAAACACAUCUCUUUACCUUUUCCGUCGCCAGUUCUCAAAGAGUUGAGGAUAAAAGGAGAUGGACCAGGCAACAAAAUAGAUCCAGCCAAUCACCUCAUCAGCAUAUCUCACUAUGAUGCUGUGAAUCACUUGAAAUUGAAUCCUAGGCCUGGUGGUUAAUGCAAGAAGAAUCAGUUAAUUCAUGUUUUUUUCAGGAGAUUUUAUCUUGUUCUGCUUUCAGAGAGGAAAUAGAGUCCAGGUGUUGAGACAAGACAAUAAAGAUUCUGUUGGGUUCA